rnacentral:rRNA from 1 species
GGUGAACCUGCGGAAGGAUCAUUACCGAGUGUAGGGUUCCUAGCGAGCCCAACCUCCCCCCCGUGUUUACUGUACCUUAGUUGCUUCGGCGGGCCCGCCAUUCAUGGCCGCCGGGGGCUCUCAGCCCCGGGCCCGCGCCCGCCGGAGACACCCCGAACUCUGUCUGAUCUAGUGAAGUCUGAGUUGAUUGUAUCGCAAUCAGUUAAAACUUUCAACAAUGGAUCUCUUGGUUCCGGCAUCGAUGAAGAACGCAGCGAAAUGCGAUAACUAGUGUGAAUUGCAGAAUUCCGUGAAUCAUCGAGUCUUUGAACGCACAUUGGGCCCCCUGGUAUUCCGGGGGGCAUGCCUGUCCGAGCGUCAUUGCUGCCCAUCAAGCACGGCUUGUGUGUUGGGUCGUCGUCCCCUCUCCGGGGGGGACGGGCCCCAAAGGCAGCGGCGGCACCGCGUCCGAUCCUCGAGCGUAUGGGGCUUUGUCACCCGCUCUGUAGGCCCGGCCGGCGCUUGCCGAACGCAAAUCAAUC